rnacentral:rRNA from 1 species
CCUAAAUCCCUGCCUACCCCGCCGCCUCCGGCCUCCGCACCCACACUGACAGGGUGGAGCCGCACGCCUCGACCCACUUCCGGACCUCGCCACCCGGCGGGCGACCCAAUGGCAACGAGCCGCCGGCACGCUUGCCAUUCGUCCGUUCCGCAGCCGCCACCCCGCGACUCCUUCUCCAAUAUCCCCAACCGUGCCGAGUAGUCAACCAACCUACCCCCACCCACCGCCGAUCCCCCGCCCCGGCGAGUCAUACAAAUAUGGAGCUCCGCCUCCGCGCUCCGGCGUCCCCCGCUUCCGCCUCUCCGCGCGGCACGUCGGUCUCCCCCAGCCCCAGGCCGCAUCCGGGCCUACCCUCGCAACCCAUUCAGAAGCGAUUGUCCGGCAGCGCCGUCUCCGUCUCCAGGCGAGGCACUGCGGCAAGGAGCAGCCCGUGUUCCGCCCUGAUGACGGCAUCAUACAACACAGGAACUCCGGACCUAGUCGACUUCGACUGGGAGACUCUUGGAUUUCAACUGGUCCCGACGGACUUUAUGUAUAUAAUGAAAUGUUCGUCAGAUGGGGUGUUCACCAAGGGUGAAUUGGUUCCAUAUGGGCCAAUCGAGCUGAACCCUGCUGCUGCAGUUUUAAAUUAUGGCCAGGGAUUGCUCGAAGGUCUUAGAGCACACAGAAAGGAGGAUGGUUCAGUAGUUGUUUUUCGCCCCAAGGAAAACGCGUUGCGGAUGAGGAUAGGUGCAGAUCGGCUAUGCAUGCCUGCACCAAGCGUUGAGCAGUUCCUAUCAGCUGUCAAGCAAACUAUAUUGGCAAACAAGCGUUGGGUACCCCCCACUGGCAAAGGUUCUUUAUAUAUCAGGCCGCUGCUGAUUGGAAGUGGAGCUAUGCUAGGUGUAGCACCUGCCCCGGAGUAUACAUUUGUUGUGUAUGUUUGCCCAGUUGGUCACUAUUUCAAGGAUGGCCUGUCACCAAUUAGCUUAUUGACUGAGGAAGAAUAUCACCGCGCUGCACCUGGUGGAACUGGUGAUAUUAAGACAAUUGGAAAUUAUGCUUCGGUUGUUAGUGCUCAGAGAAGAGCCAAGGAGAAAGGUCAUUCUGAUGUUCUUUACUUGGAUCCCGUGCAUAAGAAGUUUGUGGAGGAAGUUUCUUCCUGUAAUAUAUUGAUGGUGAAGGAUAAUGUUAUUUCUACUCCACUAUUAACGGGAACAAUUCUUCCUGGAAUCACAAGAAGAAGUAUAAUUGAAAUUGCCCAAAAUCUUGGAAUCCAGGUCGAAGAGCGCCUUAUUGCGAUAGAUGAGUUGCUUGACGCUGAUGAAGUCUUCUGUACAGGGACUGCCGUUGUACUAUCACCCGUUGGUUCCAUUGUGUACCACGGAAGAAGAGUGGAGUAUGGGGGCGGGAAGGUCGGAGCGGUGUCCCAGCAACUGUAUUCGGCACUUACAGCUAUCCAGAAAGGCCUUGUGGAGGACAGUAUGGGAUGGAGUGUGCAGUUGAAUUAGCAGCUUCAUCAUCUGGACGGUCUCUACGAGCCUCCUCGGCAAGAAAACAAUGCAAAAUCACUUGACCCUCUGUCAGGAAAUUUUGCAGAAUGUAGAAUAGCAUAAUUUCCCUGUGAAGAUAGCAAGAGGUACACACACAACAUAGCAUCAAGCUGGAUCAGAAAGAUUAAUAAUAAUGAUUAAAUAGCUGUUGUUUCUUCUCAUUCUGUUUCCCAGGAGGACUGAUUGCGCUUUGAGUGUAAAUAACUCUAUACCAUACUUGCAAUUGCAACCCAUGAGACAUAAAUAUUUGUUGCACCAACUGGGUUCAUUAC